GAUUCAAAUGAUCAAGUCAUCAUCAAGCUUCAAGUGAUACCUUGUAACUGGAGAUUCCUUCAAAACUAUUGCCUACAGUUACCGUGUAGGGCACUGCAAGGUUGGGUGACCAGGGCCAUCUGGGACUGCCUCCUGGGGGAAUUCAGGCGUGUGUGAAGGCUACCUGCGUUCUGCAGAAGUUCAUGAGGAUGGACACGAGGACCAGGAGGGGAUCUGCAGCUCGCCGACGUUUGCCAGAGGAGAGGUCUGCUGCUCUGCAGGAUGUUUCAAGGAUGGGGGCCAACAAUGCAGCACGGGAGGCAAUCCAAGUGCGGGAGAUCUUCACCUCCUACUUCUUCGAAGAGGGUGUUGUUCCCUAACAACACCAUAGACUACACUAUGCACAACCAAAUGCUCUUUUAAGAACCAUCUACAUUGCAAUAAGAGUAUUCUUCCAUUUACUUAGCUAUGUCAACUGUAGUUAUUAAAUUCCCAAUUUCUCUCCUUUUGAUUUCUACUUCUCAGGUGAGGGUGCUGUUCAGGUAAGGGUGAUGUCUGUACAAAAACAAAACAGGCUCUUUUAAGAGUCACCCAUAUUGAAAAAAUGUAGAACAAUAGGACACCCUAUAACCCACACCUACACACUUGUGUAUCAAUCUGAUUGAUGGAUUGUGUUGUGCAGUAAGCAGAUUCAGGCGUAUAACUGGCUCCUUCCACCUUCAAAGAAUAGGCAAGAGGACCAACCAUGGAGAAUAGUAAGACACUUCAUUAUUUAUAUAACUACGCUAUAUUGUUUGUCCUCAUGUGUCUGUGCUUGUUUUUCAGUAUAAAGUACUCUGCAGCCACUUAGUGUGGACACCAGGUAGGACCACACACACAGAUUCCUGUUGAACGCUGCCUCUUUAACUACCUUAUUUUCUCAAUAACAGUUUCUCUCCUUCACUUCAUCCCUCUACCCCCUUCUCCCUAAAUCCUCUAGGUUAUAUCAGCUGUGUCGGUGAAACCCUCCCGCAUCUGAACUGCCUGACACACAGAGGGCACAGCAUGAUCAGCGGUAUGUUUUGAUGUGAGAGAGGGUGCCAACCCCCAGUCCUGUCAUCGCCACCUCACCCGCUCUUAAGAUAACCUUCAGGCCAACUGAGGGCCCAAGGCUGGUUAGGGACACUGCUAGAGACACUAUUAUGUAAUUGUGAUGAACAAAGAGAAUUAAUUAAUCAUAUGCGGUCUUCCCUGUUCCUCCCUCUGUCUUUUACACUCUUUCUCACACCUCUCUCCCCACCUCCUCUUUCUGCCUCUGUUUUUAUCAUGCACACCAGAUGUGCAUUGAAGUACAGAUUUAACUUGUAUUUA